AUAGCAAAAUAAGCAAUAACUUAUUUAAUGUGUAUAAUACGAUUUUUACUUUUGCAGAUAAAAAAAGGAAACUAUAUAUUUUCUUCUAAAAUCAUUGCAUACCCUGUUUAUGUUGCUCAAACGAUUCAUAAGUAUAACCCAACAGACAUUCCACAAGUUGCUAUAUUUGGUAAAUCAAAUGUUGGCAAGUCAAGUUUAAUUAACGCCAUACUUAAUUAUAGAGAAGUUGCUCAAGCAUCUAAAACACCGGGAAGAACAAGACAUUUGUUUAUAUUUAAUUUACAAAACUUUAUUUCAAUUGUGGAUUUGCCUGGCUAUGGUCAUGCGAAAGUUUCAAAAAGUUUAAGAAAUGAUUGGUCAAUAUUAAUUGAAGAAUAUUUAAAU